rnacentral:tRNA from 1 species
UCCUGGCUGGCUCAGUUGGUAGAGCACGAGACUUUUGAUCUCAGGGUUACAAGUUCGAGCCUCAUGUUGGGUG